CUCACAGCGAUAUAAUUCAUCCAUAUAAAGUAUAAAGCUCAGUGGCUUUUAGUAUAUUCAGUGUUGUGCCACCAUUUCCACAAUUUUAGAACAUGCUCAUCAUCCCAAAGAGAAGCCUUGUACCUAUUAGCACCUCCUCUCUCACCAACAACCUUCCACCCCUGCCCAAGCCUUAGGCAAUCACUUGUCUACUUGCUGUCCCUAUAGAUUGGCCAAUUAUUCUGGACAUUUAGCAUGAAUGGAAUCAUACGAUAAGUAGUCUUUUCUGACUGGCUUCUUUCACCUAGCAUAUUUCAAGGUUUCAUGUAUCAGAACUUCAUUUUCGAUUGCUGAAUAAUAUAGCUUUGUAUAGACAUACCACGUUUUAUUUAUCAGCUCGUCAUCCACAAUGUUAAUUUUAUCUGCUGUUUCCUUGUGUUCUGGUAUGUAAUAGUCUUUGGAAAGGAGUCUGGUUUUUUUCAGGUCCUGUAGAAUGAAGGAGAGGAGGAGCCUCUGCAACUCUGAGAUCCUCUGCAGAGAGAUCAACUCAAGGGGAAGGGGAAGUAGAGGCAUGAAAAUUGAUGUGGGUAAAUCCAAAUCAGUCAAGGGAGGAAGGGGACACGUGGACCCCCAGCUCAGACCCUGUACCGCGCAGGACAACUCUGAGCCUUGCUUCCUGGUGAAGAUAAAGAAAACUGAAUUUUGACAAAACAGAAGAAGUACGAAGCUGCUUGAACUUCUGCAAUUUUAUAAAGACACAUGUUCAAAAUUUAAAUUAUGGGAGUGACUUCUCCUUUUUUUUCUCCCUUUUGGGAACCAAAUAAAGCAUUUGCUUUAUUUGCUGCAGGGUGAAAGAGUUGUCUUGACAAGGUACCAGGGUGAGGUCAAGUGUGAACGCCACAGUGCUCAGGCAGCUUCCUGAAGGUGUCUCAGGCAUCAAAGUGACAGGAGGAAAUCACUGGAGUGUGACAUCGUUUCAGAGAAAAUGCACCAAGACUUCCUUCUGAGGAAAACUUGUAAGAAGUGCAAAGAAAAGAAGGGGAUGCUCUGGGGCAGGUGUCUUUCAUAGAUGAUUGUUAAACAUCGUUUGCCACAUCCUUACCUGCACUGGGUAUUUUCACUUAACGGAAUGAAAUAAAUUCUCUCCACUGCUUUAUCAGGCAAAAGAAA